rnacentral:rRNA from 1 species
CAGUAGCCGCGGUAAUACGUAGGUGGCAAGCGUUGUCCGGAAUUACUGGGCGUAAAGGGCUCGCAGGCGGUUUCUUAAGUCUGAUGUGAAAGCCCCCGGCUCAACCGGGGAGGGUCAUUGGAAACUGGGAAACUUGAGUGCAGAAGAGGAGAGUGGAAUUCCACGUGUAGCGGUGAAAUGCGUAGAGAUGUGGAGGAACACCAGUGGCGAAGGCGACUCUCUGGUCUGUAACUGACGCUGAGGAGCGAAAGCGUGGGGAGCGAACAGGAUUAGAUACCCCCGUAGUCCCUGUCUCUUAUAC